rnacentral:tRNA from 1 species
UAAAUUUUAGUUUAAAAAAAAUUUUUUAUUUACAUUAAAAAGAUUAAUUUGAUUAAAAUUUAA